rnacentral:rRNA from 1 species
GACAGAGGAGCCAAGCGUUGUUCGGAAUUACUGGGCGUAAAGCGCGCGUAGGCGGUGAUCUUUGUCAGAGGUGAAAGCCUGGGGCUCAACUCCAGAAUUGCCUUUGAAACGGGAUCGCUUGAGUCCGAGAGAGGAUGGCGGAAUUCCUAGUGUAGAGGUGAAAUUCGUAGAUAUUAGGAAGAACACCGGUGGCGAAGGCGGCCAUCUGGCUCGGUACUGACGCUCAGGCGCGAAAGCGUGGGGAGCAAACAGG